CAGCCGCCGCGGUAAUACGUAGGUGGCAAGCGUUGUCCGGAAUUAUUGGGCGUAAAGGGCUCGCAGGCGGUUUCUUAAGUCUGAUGUGAAAGCCUCCGGCUCAACCGGGGAGGGUCAUUGGAAACUGGGAAACUUGAGUGCAGAAGAGGAGAGUGGAAUUCCACGUGUAGCGGUGAAAUGCGUAGAGAUGUGGAGGAACACCAGUGGCGAAGGCGACUCUCUGGUCUGUAACUGACGCUGAGGAGCGGAAGCGUGGGGAGCGAACAGGAUUAGAUACCCCCGUAGUCCCUGUCUCUUAUAA
rnacentral:rRNA from 1 species